GACGAACGCUGGCGGCGUGCUUAACACAUGCAAGUCGAACGGAAAGGCCCUGCUUUUGUGGGGUGCUCGAGUGGCGAACGGGUGAGUAACACGUGAGUAACCUGCCCUUGACUUUGGGAUAACUUCAGGAAACUGGGGCUAAUACCGGAUAGGAGCUCCUGCUGCAUGGUGGGGGUUGGAAAGUUUCGGCGGUUGGGGAUGGACUCGCGGCUUAUCAGCUUGUUGGUGGGGUAGUGGCUUACCAAGGCUUUGACGGGUAGCCGGCCUGAGAGGGUGACCGGCCACAUUGGGACUGAGAUACAGCCCAGACUCCUACGGGGGGCAGCAGUGGGGAAUAUUGCACAAUGGGCGGAAGCCUGAUGCAGCAACGCCGCGUGCGGGAUGACGGCCUUCGGGUUGUAAACCGCUGUCGCCUGUGACGAAGCGUGAGUGACGGUAAUGGGUAAAGAAGCACCGGCUAACUACGUG
rnacentral:rRNA from 1 species